rnacentral:rRNA from 1 species
CUUACAGGAACAAAGGGUGUAUGGUGGAUGCCUAGGCUUCAAGAAGCGAUGAAGGACGCGAUAUGGCUGCGAUAAGAUUCGGUGAGGUGCCAAAUAACCUUUGACCCGGAUAUGUCCGAAUGGGGAAACCCCACUGUCAUCGGCA